rnacentral:rRNA from 1 species
UAUNGGUCAAUGGGCGCAGGCCUGAACCAGCNAAGUAGCGUGAAGGAUGACUGCCCUAUGGGUUGUAAACUUCUUUUAUAUGGGAAUAAAGUUUUCCACGUGUGGAAUUUUGUAUGUACCAUAUGAAUAAGCAUCGGCUAACUCCGUGCCAGCAGCCGCGGUAAUACGGAGGAUGCGAGCGUUAUCCGGAUUUAUUGGGUUUAAAGGGUGCGUAGGUGGUUAAUUAAGUCAGCGGUGAAAGUUUGUGGCUCAACCAUAAAAUUGCAGUUGAUACUGGCUGUCUUGAGUACAGUAGAGGUGGGCGGAAUUCGUGGUGUAGCGGUGAAAUGCUUAGAUAUCACGAAGAACUCCGAUUGCGAAGACAGCUCACUGGACUGCAACUGACACUGAUGCUCGAAAGUGUGGGUAUCAAACA